rnacentral:rRNA from 1 species
AGCGAACGCUGGCGGCAGGCCUAACACAUGCAAGUCGAGCGGGCACUUUCGGGUGUCAGUGGCGGACGGGUGAGUAACGCGUGGGAACGUGCCCUCUGGUUCGGAAUAACUCAGGGAAACUUGAGUUAAUACCGGAUACGCCCUUUUGGGGAAAGGCUUGCUGCCGGAGGAUUGGCCCGCGACUGAUUAGCUAGUUGGUGCGGUAACGGCUCACCAAGGCGAGGAUCAGUAGCUGGUAUGAGAGGAUGGUCAGCCACACUGGGGGUGAGACACGGCCCGGACUCCUACGGGAGGCAGCAGUGGGGAAUAUUGGACCAUGGGCGCAAGCCUGAUGCAGCCAUGCCGGGUGAGUGAUGAAGGCCUUAGGGUUGUAAAGCUCUUUUAUCCGGGACGAUAAUGACGGUACCGGAGGAAUAAGCCCCGGCUAACUUCGUG